UACGAAGGGGGCUAGCGUUGUCCGGAAUUACUGGGCGUAAAGGGCGCGCAGGCGGCCCUCCAAGUCAGGCGUGAAAGCCCCGGGCUCAACCCGGGAACAGCGCUUGAGACUGGGGGGCUCGAGUUCGGGAGAGGAGAGUGGAAUUCCCAGUGUAGAGGUGAAAUUCGUAGAUAUUGGGAAGAACACCGGUGGCGAAGGCGGCGACCUGGUCCGACACUGACGCUGAGGCGCGAAAGCGUGGGGAGCAAACAGG
rnacentral:rRNA from 1 species